rnacentral:lncRNA from 1 species
GCACAUCCGAGUUCUCACCACUGCACAUCCGAGUUCCCAUCACUGCACAUCCGAGUUCUCACCACUGCACAUCCGAGUUCUCACCACUGCAUAUCACAGUUCUCACCACUGCACAUCCGAGUUUCCACCACUCCAUAUCACAGUUCUCACCACUGCAAUCAGAGUUCCCACCACUGCCCAUCAGAGUUCCCACCACUGCACAUCCGAGUUCUCACCACUGCAUAUCACAGUUCUCACCACUGCACAUCCGAGUUUCCACCACUCCAUAUCACAGUUCUCACCACUGCACAUCAGAGUUCCCACCACUGCACAUCCGAGUUCUCACCAUUGCACAUCAGAGUUUCCACCACUCCAUAUCACAGUUCUCACCACUGCACAGUAAAGUUCUCACCACUGCACAUCCGAGUUCUCACCACUGUACAUCCGCAUUCUCACCACUGCACAUCAGAGUUCCCACCACUGCACAUCCGAGUUCCCACCACUGCACAUCUGAGUUCCCACCACUGCACAUCAGAGUUCUCACCACUGCAUAUCACAGUUCUCACCACUGCACAUCCGAGUUCCCACCACUGCACAUCCGAGUUCCCACCACUGCACAUCUGAGUUCCCACCACUGCACAUCAGAGUUCUCACACCUUAAGAUCCCAGAAAGGCAUGCCACAGUUUAAAACUUGAAACAGCACCGCAGGCUUA